rnacentral:rRNA from 1 species
CGAAGGAUCCAAGCGUUGUCCGGAUUUACUGGGUUUAAAGGGUGCGUAGGCGGGCUAUUAAGUCAGUGGUGAAAGCUUGCAGCUUAACUGUAAAAUUGCCAUUGAAACUGAUAGCCUCGAAUAUGGUUGAGGUGGUUGGAAUGUAUCAUGUAGCGGUGAAAUGCUUAGAUAUGAUACAGAACACCGAUUGCGAAGGCAGAUCACUAAACCAUUAUUGACGCUGAAGCACGAAAGCGUGGGGAUCAAACAGGAUUAGAUACCCUGGUAGUCCACGCCCUAAACGUUGCAUACUCGGUUUUAGCGAUAUACCGUUAGGACCCAAGCGAAAGCGUUAAGUAUGCCACCUGGGAAGUACGUCCGCAAGGAUG